GUCUAUGGCCAUACCACCCAGAAUGUGCCCGAUCUCGAUCUCGGAAGCUAAGCAGGGUUGGGCCUGGUUGGUACUUGGAUGGGAGACCGCCUGGGAAUACCAGGUGCUGUAGGCU